UUUUCACUGGAAGAAUUGAACACGCUUUGGCAACAAUAAGGUUUAAACGAUGACUGGAGUAAUGAACAUGCAACGCCUUCGGGUUUUUCUCAAAUAUUCUCCCAGAAAUACCUUUUACCUGGCUGGACACAGCACUAGCACCGUCAUAUCCCUGGCCUCGACAAUUUUGAAGGGAAGCCCGACAUCUUGAAGUGUACUUUGACUAAUGAACGGAAUCAAAUCCAAAGGCGAAACAGUUCGGUAUACAAAUGAAAAUGUUCUUGAAUCAUGUAAAACUUCAAAUUUAUUCAAGAAUGUAUUAAAUUAUCCAGAAAGUAUAAGCUUGGAGUUAUCAUUAAAAAGUGCCUUGCACCAGAUAUUUUCAAUAAUUAGCUAUCGAGACCAUCCUCAGUUGUUCGGGCUGGAAUACACAAGCGGUCAGCUGAGAAAUUUCUCGUCUUCCGACAGGGAUAUAUCAUUGGCUGGUUAGCUACACGGGGUUAGAGGCAGUGGAAAUGGAGAUGUUUGUGUAAAAACGACCCCAACGAAGAGACUGUACGCUUUUUCAUAGAUGAUUGAGCGAAAAUUAUGGUCAAAAUUUUCCUGAUGAAAAUCUCGCACUGCUAUGAUUGCCGUAAAUACGAACCCUCAUUUCAUUCUCCUCCUGACGUAUGGGAUCUCAUAUAACACACAAACAAUUACACUUCUCGUCAGGUAUUCCUAUUAGUCAGUCCAAUACAUCACAUACAGCAAAAGAAGAAUUGUUUUUUUAAGAUGAUAUAUUUUUCAAGGUUAUC